GAUGAACGCUGGCGGCGUGCCUAAUACAUGCAAGUCGAGCGAACGGACGAGAAGCUUGCUUCUCUGAUGUUAGCGGCGGACGGGUGAGUAACACGUGGAUAACCUACCUAUAAGACUGGGAUAACUUCGGGAAACCGGAGCUAAUACCGGAUAAUAUUUUGAACCGCAUGGUUCAAAAGUGAAAGACGGUCUUGCUGUCACUUAUAGAUGGAUCCGCGCUGCAUUAGCUAGUUGGUAAGGUAACGGCUUACCAAGGCAACGAUGCAUAGCCGACCUGAGAGGGUGCUCGGCCACACUGGCACUGAGACUCGGGCCAGACGCCUCCGGGAGCCAGCCGUAGGGAGUCUUGCGAAAUGGGCGAACGCCUGACGGAGCAACGCCGCGUGAGUGAUGAAGGUGUUCGGUCUGUAAGACUCUGUCAUGAGGGAAGAAUACAUGGGUACGGCACUGUGCAAGGCGGUCCGGUGACUAAUCAGAUAACUAUGGCCAACCUGGCG
rnacentral:rRNA from 1 species